UUGACUUCUAGGGGAGGGAAGCUUCCUUUAACAUUGCCUUGUUUCCUGUUUUUGCUGCUAUAUUUGCUAAGAGUGUCUGAAGCAUGUCAUUUAAUGAGUGCCUAGUCUGAAACCCUUUUUUUACCAGACAAACCAGGACUACCCCUGGCUUUUUUUUUUUUUUAAUGUAUUUAUUUAUUUUUGGCUGCGUUGGGUCUUCGUUGCUGCUCGCAGGCUUUCUCUAGUUGCGUAGAGCGGGGGCUACUCUUCUUUGCAGUGUGCAGAAUUCUCAUUGCGGUGGCUUCUCUUGUUGCGGAGCACGGGCUCUAGGCGUGUGGGCUUCAGUAGUUGUGGCUCGCAGGCUCAGUAGUUGUGGCAUGUGGGCUCUAGAGUGCAGGCUCAGUAGUUGUGGCGCACGGGCUUAGUUGCUCCGCAGCAUGUAGGAUCUUCCCGGCCCAGGGCUGGAACCCGUGUCCCCUGCAUUGGCAGGUGGAUUCUUAACCACUGCACCACCAGGGAAGUCCCUGCCCCUGACUUUUUCUAAGGACAGGUUGGUUGACUGAGGUGGAGCUUGCUGUGUGGCGACCACUGUGGAUUCUGAGAGCAAAAGGAGGUGAGCAGCAGCAGGAAAAACCCUAGCAGACACCGAGCUCUUCUGUGGGUGAGGCUCAUCACUCACUUGUUUAUCAUUUCAUCCUCCCAGGAACAUCACGAAUUGUGAUAAAUGGUGUGCAAUGCUGGUUUAAGAUAAGAUUCUACAGUUUGGUGGAAAGAAUUUUCAGAAACACGAAUUCCCUCCUUCCUGCCUGCAACCCUGACGUCUUGGACUGUAAGAACUGUAGACAGUUGGAGAUCAGAGGGACCAUCUCCUACCUUCACCCAGGAGAGCCUUGGAGUACAGAAAGAAAGCAUCACCUUUGUCCCAUCAGUAAUGUGCUCCAGCUACUCAAGCACUUUGGCUUAUA